rnacentral:rRNA from 1 species
GAUGAACGCUAGAGGCAGGUCUAAUACAUGCAAGUCGGACGGGAUCCAUCGGAGAGCUUGCUCGAAGAUGGUGAGAGUGGCGCACGGGUGCGUAACGCGUGAGCAACCUACCUCUAUCAGGGGGAUAGCCUCUCGAAAGAGAGAUUAACACCGCAUAAUAUAAUCUUCCGGCAUCGUUAGAUUAUUAAAUAUUUAUAGGAUAGAGAUGGGCUCGCGUGACAUUAGCUAGUUGGUAAGGUAACGGCUUACCAAGGCGACGAUGUCUAGGGGCUCUGAGAGGAGAAUCCCCCACACUGGUACUGAGCCACGGACCAGACUCCUACGGGAGGCAGCAGUAAGGAAUAGUGGUCAAUGGGCGGAAGCCUGAACCAGCCAUGCCGCGUUCAGGACGACUGCCCUAUGGGUUGUAAACUGCUUUUGUCCAGGAAUAAACCUAAAUACGUGUAUUUAGCUGAAUGUACUGGAAGAAUAAGGAUCGGCUAACUCCGUGCCAGCCGCCGCCGUAACAC